ACGGGCGUGUGGUGUCCUCUCUCCGGGUCGGGAGCCGAGUCUAGAGGGGGACAACAUGCCAACUGCCAAGCAACUAGCUGACAUUGGCUACAAGACCUUCUCUACCUCCAUGAUGCUUCUCACUGUGUAUGGGGGCUACCUCUGCAGUGCCCGAGCCUACCGCUAUUUCCAGCGGCGCAGCUCUCAGCGCCAGGCUGCAGAAGAACAGAAGACCUCAGGAGUCCCAUAGAACUGGGGGUUUUUCUCCUGGAGCAGAGAGGCCUGAGGCGUGCUGUGGAAUGAUCUCACCUGCAAUCAUUUCCAAGUCAAGAGAACUAGGGCCUUAAUGGUUUUCGAAUCCUGCUGAGGAAAAAGUGCCCCCUAUUUUCUCUGGUACUGCCGUUUUGGGGAGGCUGUUGAGUCACAACAGGAAUGGGAGGAUGAGGCACACCUACAGAGAUUAAAUAUUUUGCCAUGUCUGUGUCUUGGUAUUUUUGUUUACUUAAAUAGGGGAUGAACUGCAGAGAUGGGGCCUUGACUACCAGUUUUCUACUGCUUGACUACCAGACUGGAUUUCUAUAUUUUGAACUCUUAGCUCCCAUGAAGGGGAGAUACGCAGUUUUAGGAGUAGCGGUGUCAUCUCAUGAUCUCAGAUGGAAGACUGUCCCAGCAUCUGUACAAAUCCCCUGAAAAGACUCCGUAAAGACCAGAACUCUUCAUUGGUCAGUGACCAUUCCUAGACCAAUUACUGUGUCCAGGUAAAGGGUUACUCUGGCCAGUUCUUGGCCACGCAUGCACCUCUCAGAUAAGGAAGGCAGAGGCCCUUGUUUAACAACCCCACCAAAAACGCCCGAAGUGGGGGAGGCAGAGAUCCCAGAGGGAAGAGUUGUUGGGCAGCCAGCCUAUAGUAAUGCAAUCCAACUCCUCAAGCGCAGUGGGCAUAGUAUUAGCACAGGGCUGAUUUCCCACUGUGCCAGUGCACAGGAAAUCUUCCUGCGGGUCUUUCUGCAAAGUUGUGAAGAGGAUUUGAAAACAGUGCAUUCAAGGUAAAACUCAACUAUGAAGAGUGCUGUUCUUGCCACUAUACCAUUUUGAGCUUUGAGCCUUGCUAGUUGACUUCAUUCUCAUUCUUGGUAAUCGCCCCAAAUAACAGUCCCCUUGGACGUUUGUCAUCUCUCCUGCUUUCAUGUGCGUACUGCUCUUACCAUUGUCCUUCUACUCCUAAACCUUUCACCCAAAAGCUUUCUUCUGUGAUAUAAAAAACCCAGCUUUCCUAUACCACCAGCCCUUUUAUUCCCAGCCUCUCUUGGUGUGUUAACCAAGAACUCCAUUGCCUCUGCUUUCUCACUUCCCUAUAUGGUAGAGGCAUCAUUCUCCCAGCUCCCCUGUGCACUUUCAAAAAGUGUAACAUCUGUCUUUUUUUUCCCCCUUCCUCUGCUCCCCCCCCUUUACAUCAUUCCUUUUAGAAAUGUUCUCUUACAUUCUCAUUUCUACUCCAGAACUUGGAGUCCAAAGAACUUCAAGUCUUUUUUUUUUUUUUUUUUUUUUAAGAACUUCAAGUCUUUUGAUUUCUUUGGUUUUCCAAUCUGUCUGCCCUUGACGUAAACAGAUUUCCUAUCUAGCCUGUGCCCAGAUCAGAGCCUUCAGAUAGCUCCAUUGUGGUUUUUGCCUUCCUCAUUACCCUUUUCAAUCCCAAGCCUUGCUUUAUUAGUUGUCUCUAAUUCAUAUUCUUUCUUCUCAGUGUACAAACUUGCGUAAGGCCUCCCGCCUCCUAUCAAAACAGACUAUUCAAGAUUAUUUAAGGAGAAGUGAUGCCACUUGCACGGACUUAAAAUUCCUUCCACCUCCACCAUUGUGUUGAAACUCCAGGUUACCAUGGCCUCCUUUGUGUUGCACCUAUGGAUGAUUUCAGUCCUUCCCUGGCCGUUUCACUGCUGCGCUGAAGUUCUGUUUUGGCCAUAGGGUGGGCCUACUAUCUUGUUUCCUCCUAUGCCUUUGACUUUUCCUUUUGAUUUCCUUUGGGAAUUUCUGCCCACUUUUUAUUUAUUUAUUUAUUUAUUUGAUUUUUUUCUGCCCACUUUAAACAGUGAUACUUCAAAGUUUUGUUCUUAGACCAUUGCUCUCAUCUGUAUGUUUUUCCAAGAUUAUUCUAGGCACUCAGUGAAAAUAGUUAAUUAAGUGCUCAGUGUUGGUAUCCCAACUCUACCAUUCCAGCUAUAUUGCAUUAGGCCAAUUACUUAACUCUUAACUCCUCACUUUACCUGUGUCUAAUGGGGAUUUAAAAAAUAAUAGUUCCGGUUGGCUCAGCAGUUUAGCGCCACCUUCAGCCCAGGGCCUGAUCCUGGAGACCCCGGAUUGUGUCCCUCGUCAGGCUCCCUGCAUGGAGCCUGCUUCUCCCUCUGCCUGUGUCUCUACCUCUCUCUGUCUCUCAUGAGUAAA
rnacentral:lncRNA from 1 species